GACGAACGCUGGCGGCGUGCCUAACACAUGCAAGUCGAACGGGACUCAGCCCUUCGGGACUGAGUUUAGUGGCGAACGGGUGAGUAACGCGUGAGGAACCUGCCUUUCAGUGGGGGACAACAGUUGGAAACGACUGCUAAUACCGCAUAAUACUUUCGAGCGGCAUCGUUUGAAAGUAUUAUGCGGUAUCGCAUGAUACAGUGUGAAAAACUCCGGUGGUAUAAGAUGGACCCGCGUCUGAUUAGCUAGUUGGUGGGGUAACGGCCCACCAAGGCGACGAUCAGUAGCCGACCUGAGAGGGUGACCGGCCACAUUGGGACUGAGACACGGCCCAAACUCCUACGGGAGGCAGCAGUGGGGAAUAUUGCACAAUGGGCGAAAGCCUGAUGCAGCGGCGCCGCGUGAGCGAAGAAGUAUUUCGGUAUGUAAAGCUCUAUCAGCAGGGAAGAUAAUGACGGUACCUGACUAAGAAGCACCCGGG
rnacentral:rRNA from 1 species